UUAGUCAAUGGCCUAACGGCUGAACUGGCAACUUGGAGAAGUGGCAAGUCUUCCAGUAUGGGGAGCAAAACAGCUAUGGGUCAAGUCCGAUAUCUUUAGGAGAAGUCUUAUUGUGAGGGCGAGUUAUAUAACACCAUAGGACUGGCCGUCCCAUAUGAAAAGAUUAUAUUAGAAUUGAAUGAAGCUUUGUUUAUAUAUUGAUAAUGACAGUAUAUAUAUCGUGUCUUGACUAAUUGCGUGCCAGCAGUCGCGGUAAUACGUAAGAGACUAGUGUUAUUCAUCUUAAUUAGGUUUAAAGGGUACCCAGACGGUCAAUAUAGCUUAUAAAAUGUUAGUACUUGACUAGAGUUUUAUGUAAGAGGGCAGUACUUGAGGAGGAGAGAUGAAAUUUCGUGAUACCAAAGGGACUCUGUAAAGGCGAAGGCAGCCCUCUAUGUAAAAACUGACGUUGAAGGACGAAGGCACAGAGAACAAACAGGAUUAGAUACCCAAGUAGUCUUUGCAGUAAAUGAUGAAUGCCAUAGGUUAGAUUGGUCAAUUAUAGUCUAGGGUUAGUCUAGCAAACUAAUACCCUAUGCUAUAAUCCUAAUAUCUGGUCUAUAAAUGAAAGUGUAAGCAUUUCACCUCAAGAGUAAUGUGGCAACGCAGGAACUGAAAUCACUAGACCGUUUCUGACACCAGUAGUGAAGUAUGUUAUUUAA
rnacentral:rRNA from 1 species